rnacentral:rRNA from 1 species
AGUGAACGCUGGCGGUAGGCCUAACGCAUGCAAGUCGAACGGCAGCACAGUAAGAGCUUGCUCUUACGGGUGGCGAGUGGCGGACGGGUGAGGAAUACAUCGGAAUCUACUUUUUCGUGGGGGAUAACGUAGGGAAACUUACGCUAAUACCGCAUACGACCUACGGGUGAAAGCAGGGGAUCUUCGGACCUUGCGCGAUUGAAUGAGCCGAUGUCGGAUUAGCUAGUUGGCGGGGUAAAGGCCCACCAAGGCGACGAUCCGUAGCUGGUCUGAGAGGAUGAUCAGCCACACUGGAACUGAGACACGGUCCAGACUCCUACGGGAGGCAGCAGUAGGGAAUAUUGGACAAUGGGCGCAAGCCUGAUCCAGCCAUACCGCGUGGGUGAAGAAGGCCUUCGGGUUGUAAAGCCCUUUUGUUGGGAAAGAAAAGCAGCAGGUUAAUACCCCGCUGUUCUGACGGUACCCAAAGAAUAAGCACCGGCUAACUUCGUG